rnacentral:rRNA from 1 species
GAUGAACGCUGGCGGCGUGCUUAACACAUGCAAGUCGAACGAAGCAUUUAAGACAGAUUACUUCGGUUUGAAGUCUUUUAUGACUGAGUGGCGGACGGGUGAGUAACGCGUGAGUAACCUGCCUCAUACAGGGGGAUAGCAGCUGGAAACGGCUGGUAAUACCGCAUAAGCGCACAGUACCACAUGGUACAGUGUGAAAAACUCCGGUGGUAUGAGAUGGACCCGCGUCUGAUUAGCUUGUUGGCGGGGUAACGGCCCACCAAGGCGACGAUCAGUAGCCGACCUGAGAGGGUGACCGGCCACAUUGGGACUGAGACACGGCCCAGACUCCUACGGGAGGCAGCAGUGGGGAAUAUUGCACAAUGGAGGAAACUCUGAUGCAGCGACGCCGCGUGAGUGAAGAAGUAGUUCGCUAUGUAAAGCUCUAUCAGCAGGGAAGAUAGUGACGGUACCUGACUAAGAAGCUCCGGCUAAAUACGUG